CUGAUGUGGGCAUCCUGCCAGGUUGCUCUUGGUCUCUGUGUGGCCAAUGGGAGCAUAGGCCUAUGGAUCAAUGAUGUAUAGUCUUGUUCCCAUAACGUUGGUAAGCAAGUGUGCCCUCACCGUUUCAGCUGGCAAGGCCAGCAUUAUGUCUAAUCCUAGACCAUCUCAGUGUAUGAUAACUGGGAAGAUAAACCAUGCAGGCUACAGUU